AUUGAACGCUGGCGGCAGGCCUAACACAUGCAAGUCGAGCGGAUGAGGAAAGCUUGCUUUUCGAUUCAGCGGCGGACGGGUGAGUAAUGCCUAGGAAUCUGCCUGUUAGUGGGGGAUAACUCGGGGAAACUCGGGCUAAUACCGCAUACGUCCUACGGGAGAAAGUGGGGGAUCUUCGGACCUCACGCUAACAGAUGAGCCUAGGGCGGAUUAGCUAGUAGGUGAGGUAAUGGCUCACCUAGGCGACGAUCCGUAACUGGUCUGAGAGGAUGAUCAGUCACACUGGAACUGAGACACGGUCCAGACUCCUACGGGAGGCAGCAGUGGGGAAUAGUGGACAAUGGGCGAAAGCCUGAUCCAGCCAUGCCGCGUGUGUGAAGAAGGUCUUCGGAUUGUAAAGCACUUUAAGUUGGGAGGAAGGGUAUUCACCUAAUACGUGGGUACUUUGACGUUACCAACAGAAUAAGCACCGGCUAACUCUGUGCCAGCAGCCGCCGUAAGAC
rnacentral:rRNA from 1 species